rnacentral:lncRNA from 1 species
CUCUGCUCAAAAGGAAAGGUGUGUGAAGUAUACACAUCCAUGCAACAAUGGAAAAGCUAAGAAUGGAUUCCUGACGCUGUUAUCAGUAACAGGCAUAUGCAAGAACACCUGGUCACCAGUCCCAACUACCUUUGGAUAAGAUUAAAAAACCACAUGGCCAAAAGUUAAGCAACACAGUUUUGAACCUUGUUCUAAUUAAAAUGUNNNNNNNNNNNNNNNNNNNNNNNNNNNNNNUAAAUUAAAUGUUCCAGAGAGUUUACUGGGAAGGGAAGGUUAAGAGAAGAAUUGUAUCCAAAUACUUUAUGAAAAUUGCUUGUUAAGGCACUAUACAUCUUCUUUGGUUAAAUGAUCAACUAUUUUAAUCACAUGGAAAAAAAAGAGGGAGUUAUUCAAAAUUAUCUACUAAAAACUUCUGUUGAAAAUACGAAAAAUGAAUUUGUGUCUCAAAAAUAUCACUUGAUAUACUUUACGUUAGUGUUCAUGGUCUUUUAUAAAACAGGGCAAUGUUGUAUUAAAGCAAGAAUUGUAGUAAAUGGCACUCAGAUUAUAAAACUAACUCAUGAUAUUGCCUGUUGUGUACAGGUACAUUUCUUUUGGCUAUUAACAGAAUAAAAUCAAGGAGUUAUAACUAGGAGAAUAAUUUCUUCUCUGAGCUUUAGAGAUCACUAAGAAUAUUUCAAGUCAAUUAGACCUUCUUAAAAACUCUUAUUCUACAGUCU